rnacentral:sRNA from 1 species
UUGGCUGUCGUCAGCUCGUGUCGUGAGAUGUUGGGUUAAGUCCCGCAACGAGCGCAACCCUCACUUUUAGUUGCCAUCAUUUAGUUGGGCACUCUGAAAGAACUGCCAGUGAUAAGCUGGAGGAAGGUGGGGAUGACGUCAAGUCCUCAUGGCCCUUAUGUGUUGGGCUACACACGUGCUACAAUGGUAUCUACAACAGGAAGCAAGAUGGCAACAUUUAGCAAAUCCUAAAAAGAUAUCUCAGUUCGGAUUGCACUCUGCAACUCGAGUGCAUGAAGCUGGAAUUACUAGUAAUCGUGGAUCAGCGUGCCACGGUGAAUACGUUCCCGGGUCUUGUACACACCGCCCGUCACACCAUGGGAGUUGGUUCUACCUUAAGGCAAAGUUUAAAACCUUUGACCACGGUAUAGUCAGCGACUGGGGUGAAGUCGUAACAAGGUAGCCGUAGGGGAACCUGCGGCUGGAUUACCUCCUUUCUAAGGAUGAAUAAAAGUAAAAUUUUAUUCUAAAUAAUAUACAGGCAAUGUUGACCGUCCUCAUUUCUCUUCUUAAAGUAGUGCUUCUCUUGCAUGUGGGCCGGUAGCUCAGUUGGUUAGAGCACACCCUUGAUAAGGGUGGGGUCGAAAGUUCGAGUCUUUCUCGGCCCACCAAAUUAAGUGGGGGAUUAGCUCAGCUGGGAGAGCGCCUGAUUUGCAUUCAGGAGGUCAGCGGUUCGAUCCCGCUAUCCUCCACCAGAAGCACUUAGUUAUUAAAAUUGUAAAUAAAAAUAAUUAUUAUCAAUAUCUAUAUCCGAACAUUAAUUAUUUAAUUAAUGUUCAAAUAAAAAUUUGAUUCAACACAGAAUUUUUUUCUGUGCAUAAAUCAAGCGUUUAAGGGCGUGUGGCGGAUGCCUUGGCACUGAAAGCCGAUGAAGGACGUGGUAUACUGCGAUAAGUUUCGGGGAGCUGUAUGCAAGCUUUGAUCCGAAAAUUUCCGAAUGGGGAAACCCGG